AACCACAGCCAAGGGAACGGGCUUGGCA
rnacentral:ncRNA from 2 species